AUUAAUAAAUUGUAAA
rnacentral:sRNA from 1 species